rnacentral:rRNA from 1 species
UACGAAGGGGGCUAGCGUUGCUCGGAAUCACUGGGCGUAAAGGGUGCGUAGGCGGGUUUUAAGUCAGGGGUGAAAUCCUGGAGCUCAACUCCAGAACUGCCUUUGAUACUGAAGAUCUUGAGUCCGGGAGAGGUGAGUGGGAACUGCGAGUGUAGAGGUGAAAUUCGUAGAUAUUCGCAAGAACACCAGUGGCGAAGGCGGCUCACUGGCCCGGUACUGACGCUGAGGCACGAAAGCGUGGGGAGCAAACAGG